AGCAGCCGCGGUAAUUCCAGCUCCAAUAGCGUAUAUUAAAGUUGCUGCAGUUAAAAAGCUCGUAGUUGAAUUUCGGGACCAUCAUGUCGGUCGUGCCUCGGUACGUACAGGCAUUGUUGGUCUCUCCCUUCUGACGAACCAUGAUGUCAUUUAUUUGGUGUCGUGGGAAAUCAGGACUGUUACUUUGAAAAAAUUAGAGUGUUUAAAGCAGGCUCACGCUUGAAUACAUUAGCAUGGAAUAAUGAAAUAGGACGUUUGAUUCUAUUUUGUUGGUUUCUAGGAUCGACGUAAUGAUUAAUAGGGAUAGUUGGGGGCAUUAGUAUUCAAUUGUCAGAGGUGAAAUUCUUGGAUUUAUUGAAGACUAACUACUGCGAAAGCAUUUGCCAAGGAUGUUUUCAUUAAUCAAGAACGAAAGUUAGGGGAUCGAAGACGAUCAGAUACCGUCGUAGUCUUAACCAUAAACUAUGCCGACUAGGGAUCGGAUGAUGUUAAUUUUUUAAUGACUCAUUCGGCGCCUUACG
rnacentral:rRNA from 1 species